rnacentral:rRNA from 1 species
AUGCCGCACGCCCAUGCCGAUGUGGUGGACGAGAUCGAACAGAUGGCGUUGGGUAACUAUGGCGGUCUGCCACACUGGGGCAAGAACCGCAACUUCGCCUUCGACGGUGCCAUCGCAAGGUACCCCAAAGCUGAUAAGUUCUUUAAGGUAAAGAGCAGUUACGACACCGACGGGCUCUUCUCCAGUGAGUGGACCGACCAGGUGCUUGGUAUCAACGGAAGUCCCAACAUCAUCGAGAAUCGUUGUGCCAUUGAAGGACUCUGCAUCUGCUCCGACGACUCACACUGCGCACCGGAGCAGGGCUACUUCUGCCGGCUAGGGAAGGUUUACAAGAAGGCUAGAGUUUGCUCCUCCGAGGAGGAUUAUUAG